CACGUAGUUGGCCGGGGCUUCUUCUGCAGGUACCGUCAAUUUCCUCCCUGCUGGAAGGAGUUUACAACCCGAGAGCCUUCAUCCCCCACGCGGCGUUGCUGCGUCAGGCUUUCGCCCAUUGCGCAAGAUUCCCCA
rnacentral:rRNA from 1 species